AUUGAACGCUGGCGGAAUGCUUUACACAUGCAAGUCGAGCGGCAGCACGGGGGCAACCCUGGUGGCGAGCGGCGAACGGGUGAGUAACACAUCGGAACGUACCCUGUCGUGGGGGAUAACGAGUCGAAAGAUUCGCUAAUACCGCAUACGACCCGAGGGUGAAAGCGGGGGAUCGCAAGACCUCGCGCGACUGGAGCGGCCGAUGGCGGAUUAGCUAGUUGGUGGGGUAAAGGCCCACCAAGGCGACGAUCCGUAGCGGGUCUGAGAGGACGGCCCGCCACACUGGGACUGAGACACGGCCCAGACUCCUACGGGAGGCAGCAGUGGGGAAUUUUGGACAAUGGGGGCAACCCUGAUCCAGCCAUUCCGCGUGAGUGAAGAAGGCCUCGGUUGUAAGACUCUUCGUCAGGAACGAAAAGGACUCUCUCUAACAUAGGGGUCGAAUGACGGUACCUGAAGAAGAAGCACCGGCGUAACUACGUGCCAGCAGCCGCGGUAA
rnacentral:rRNA from 1 species